GAAAUGCGAUACUUGGUGUGAAUUGCAGAAUCCCGUGAACCAUCGAGUCUUUGAACGCAAGUUGCGCCCGAAGCCAUUAGGCCGAGGGCACGCCUGCCUGGGUGUCACACAUCGUUACCCCGCCGUGCGCUCCCGUGUUGCGAAGGAUGUCACCAGCAAACCCGAUGUCUCGCUCUGUGAAGAGCGUAGCUUACAACGCGACCCCAGGUCAGGCGGGGCUACCCGCUGAAUUUAA
rnacentral:misc_RNA from 1 species